rnacentral:rRNA from 1 species
AACGAACGCUGGCGGCAGGCUUAACACAUGCAAGUCGAACGGGUGUAGCAAUACAUCAGUAGCAGACGGGUGAGUCACACGUGGGAACCUUCCUAGGGGUACGGAACAACUCAGGGAAACUUGAGCUAAUACCGUAUACGUCCGUGAGGAGAAAGAUUUAUCGCCCUUAGACGGGCCCGCGUCGGAUUAGGUGGUUGGUGGGGUAACGGCAUACCAAGCCUACGAUCCGUAGCUGAUCUGCGAGGAUGAUCAGCCACACUGGGACUGAGACACGUCCCAGACUCCUCCGGGAGGCAGCAGUGGGGAAUAUGGGACAAUGGGCGCAAGCCUGAUCCAGCCAUGCCGCGUGAGUGAAGAAGGCCUUAGGGUUGUAAAGCUCUUUUACCAGGGACGAUAAUGACGGUACCUGGAGAAUAAGCCCCGGCAAACUUCGUGCCAGCAGCCGCCGUAAGAC